AAAGAAUAAAGUGUUUGCUUCAACAAACUGGAAGGAUACAGAGAAGAUCAUCAUGACCCUUGUGCAAGGAUGACAUGCAAAUUUAUGAAGUGUUCCAUAUUUUU